GAGGUCCAUGAGGGCAGCUUCCUCUGUUGAAAAGAAACAAGUAACAAGUAAAAAACACCAGUCAUUCUGUUGUAAUGAUUUAUGAUCCAAAAAUUUAUUUUGACUGAUUACUAAAAUAAAGCCACAUGUUACAAGGACAGUAUAGGACUUCAAAGAUGCAUUCAACUACCACAGUUAACAAUUCUGUUCCAGCUUUACCGCAAGGGGCAAAAAGGAAAGAAAGAAAGAAAUAGGAGAAGACAACAAGAACGUGUUUUAAAAAUUUCAUGAUAACUAAAAUAAGGAACUACUCUUAAAGGAUAGUGACAUCCACACAUACCAGAAGCAUUGAUCCGUAGUGUCA
rnacentral:misc_RNA from 1 species